UAGGGAAUCUUCCACAAUGGGCGGAAAGCCUGAUGGAGCAACGCCGCGUGUGUGAUGAAGGGUUUCGGCUCGUAAACACUGUUGUAAGAGAAGAAUGACAUUGAGAGUAACUGUUCAAUGUGUGACGGUAUCUUACCAGAAAGGAACGGCUAAAUACGUGUCAG
rnacentral:rRNA from 1 species